GUUGUUGCGGUAAAAAGCUCGUAGUUGGAUUUCUGUUGAGGACGACCGGUCCAUACCAUGUAUGCGCAUCUGGCUCGGCCUCGGCAUCCUCUCGAAAGACGUUGCUGCGCUUGAUUGCGUGGCGCGGAGUUCGGGACUUUUACUUUGAGGAAAUUAGAGUGUUCACGGCAGGCUAUCGCCAGAAUACAUUAGCAUGGAAUAAUAUUAUAGGAUCUUGGUUCUAUUUUGUUGGUUUCUAGAAUUGAGAUAAUGAUUAAUAGGGACAAUUGGGGGCAUUCGUAUCAACACGUCAGAGGUGGAAUUCUUGGAUUGUGUUGCGACGAACUACUGCGAAAGCAUUUGCCAAGGAUGUUUUCAUUGAUCAAGAACGAAAGUAAGGGGAUCGAAGACGAUUAGAUACCGUCGUAGUCUUUACCAUAAACUAUGCCAACUAGAGAUGGGGCAUCGUUCACUUACGACUUGCUCCGCACCUUAUGAGAUAUCAAAGUCUUUGGGUUCCGGGGGGAGUAUGGUCGCAAGGCUGAAACUUAAAGGAAUUGACGGAAGGGCACCACCAGGAGUGGAGCCUGCGGCUUAAUUUGACUCAACACGGGGAAACUCACCAGGUCCAGACAUAAUAAGGAUUGACAGAUUGAUAGCUCUUUCUUGAUUUUAUGGGUGGUGGUGCAUGGCCGUUCUUAGUUCGUGGAGUGAUUUGUCUGCUUAAUUGCGUUAACGAACGAGACCUUAACCUGCUAAAUA
rnacentral:rRNA from 1 species